rnacentral:snRNA from 1 species
AGAACUCAGGCCCUUGUGCUUGCCAGGAAGGCACUUAUUCUACUGAGUUAUCUCCCCGGCCCCCACUCAGUCGAAGAGGACGACCACCCCCGACAGUGGAGGACCAUUCCUCGGUCAAGGGUAUCCGAGUAGCUGCGCUCCCCUGCUAGAACCUCCAAACAAGCUCCCAAGGAUAUAAUUCUCGAGACCAGUUCACAACUCAUUAAAAUUUUAAUCUGCCUGCUGUU